AGCCCCCCCCCCCCCUCCACACACACACACACACACACACACAAACAAAGAGGCGUUAGGCUGAGACGCUGAAAGUCCGGAUUUAAAGUGCAGAAAAUUAAGCCAUUGAAUCUGCCUGUCCAUGACGUACAAAGACACACUAUGAGCCAGUAUGAUCCGACCAGACCUUACAUCAGCAUUGAGGAGUUGUCGGAGAAGAAAGAGGCUGAUUGAAGCGGGACAGAUGACAUGGAUCCAUCCUUCCACAGCCAGGAGCGCACCGACCUGUGUCCCACACUUCAUAUAAGACUGGAAGCUACACUGAUCUCACAGCUACACACCACAGACGUCUACACACUGGAGAAGAGUCCCACAAAGAAGUCAUG